AUAUGAAUCAUCUGGACAUCUUGUUAAAAUGCAGAUUCUGGGUCUGUAGGUCUGGGGUGGUGCCUGAGAGUCUGCGUUUCCAGCAAGCUCUCAGGUGAUGCUGGU
rnacentral:pre_miRNA from 1 species